UGGGGAAUAUUGCACAAUGGGGGAAACCCUGAUGCAGCGACGCCGCGUGGAGGAAGAAGGUCUUCGGAUUGUAAACUCCUGUUGUUGAGGAAGAUAAUGACGGUACUCAACAAGGAAGUGACGGCUAACUACGUGCCAGCAGCCGCGGUAAAACGUAGGUCACAAGCGUUGUCCGGAAUUACUGGGUGUAAAGGGAGCGCAGGCGGGCGAUCAAGUUGGAAGUGAAAUCCAUGGGCUCAACCCAUGAACUGCUUUCAAAACUGAUUGUCUUGAGUAGUGCAGAGGUAGGCGGAAUUCCCGGUGUAGCGGUGGAAUGCGUAGAUAUCGGGAGGAACACCAGUGGCGAAGGCGGCCUACUGGGCACCAACUGACGCUGAGGCUCGAAAGUGUGGGUAGCAAACAGGAUUAGAUACCCUGGUAGUCCACACCGUAAACGAUGAUUACUAGGUGUUGGAGGAUUGACCCCUUCAGUGCCGCAGUUAACACAAUAAGUAAUCCACCUGGGGAGUACGACCGCAAGGUUGAAACUCAAAGGAAUUGACGGGGGCCCGCACAAGCAGUGGAGUAUGUGGUUUAAUUCGACGCAACGCGAAGAACCUUACCAAGUCUUGACAUCCUGCGACGAUGCUAGAAAUAGUAUUUUCCUUCGGGACGCAGAGACAGGUGGUACAUGGUUGUCGUCAGCUCGUGUCGUGAGAUGUUGGGUUAAGUCCCGCAACGAGCGCAACCCUUAUGGUCAGUUACUACGCAAGAGGACUCUGGCCAGACUGCCGUUGACAAAACGGAGGAAGGUGGGGAUGACGUCAAAUCAUCAUGCCCUUUAUGACUUGGGCUACACACGUACUACAAUGGCGUUAAACAAAGAGAAGCAAGACCGCGAGGUGGAGCAAAACUCAGAAACAACGUCCCAGUUCGGACUGCAGGCUGCAACUCGCCUGCACGAAGUCGGAAUUGCUAGUAAUCGCAGAUCAGCAUGCUGCGGUGAAUACGUUCCC
rnacentral:rRNA from 1 species